CUUGAGCUACUAGUAGCUCCACCAUCUCUUAAAUUAUCUAAUUCUAUAAGUGAAAAAUCAAAUUAAAGUCAUAAAUCACAUAAUGCUAAUUGCUGGUGAAGGAGGUGCAAUUAAUUUUAUGUUAGUUUUUUUUCAUGAGAAUAACAAUUAUAAAUUUCUAAAGAAAAAAAUACAAAAGAUAAUUUAAUUAUUGGGAUUAAAAAGAUUUAAUUAUGUUAUCAAUAUUUAAAUGAUAAACUCCUAAAGCAUAUAAAUAAUAAAAUCAUAAUCUUACAUAUGUAGUUAAUAUAUCAAAACAAAAAAUUGAAAGGCCAAAAAUUAAAAAAAAUUGCUUAAAUUAUUUAAUUAUGAUUAUUUUUAAUGAAUUUAUUUAUCAACAUAAAUUGCAUAUUCAAUAGCUUUUGCAAUAACUAAAGCAACAAAUUUCACGUAAUUGUUUUUAGUCUUAUCUACAUUAAACUUUUAUAUCGUUUUAUUUGUAUUUUCAUUUAAUGUGAAAAAUCAUUUUACUUAUAAAAAAGGAAUUUAAUAAUAAAAAUAAAAUCAUUUAAAUUUAAAUUUAAAUUUAUACAAAAUUACUAAUUGUAUUUUAAUCAAUCACUUUAAAUAAUUUUGGAAUUAAAAGUUAAGGGUUUAAUUAAUCACUUUUAGCACUUCUUUAAUUUAAUUAUAAAAAAAAUUUAAUAAUAAAAAUUUCAUUUAAAUUAAAAUUUAUAAAAAAAUUUACUAAAGAUAUUUUAAUCAAUCACUUUUAAUACUUUCAAAAUUAAAAUUUUAAAAUUUUAAAUGAUUUAAUUUCUCGUAAACUCUAUUUUUAAUUCUUAUUGAUUUAAAUUAAACUUAAAUAAAUUAAUAAAAGUUAUAUAUUUAAGGAUAAAUUUGUUAAUUUAAAAAUUUAUAGAAGUAUUUAAGUCGAUUAUUAUUAAUAUUUUUUAUAUUCACACUUUCAUACAUAGAUAAUUUAUAUAUACAUAUUAAAAUAUAUAUAUAUAUAAAUAAAUACUCGAUAAAAAUCACGAGUCUCUCAAAUUAAGUAUUAAAUUAUUUAAACUCGACUCCACUCAUUAUUUGAAUAAUUCAAUCUCAAUCUCUUUCGUUCUAUAAUAAAUAAAUCAAGCUCGAAUAUUCACUAAAUCAAAUGAGUAACUCACAAAUAGCAUGACUCGUUCACACCCUACAUAAGUGCACUAAAAAGUAUAUUCUUUGCUAUUGCUUUCAGCUUGGAUAAGAUUAAAAUGUUUGAUGUAUAAAAUAUUUUAGAGGGAACAUUAUUAUAAAACGACAGAAGUAUCUAAGCAAAUGAUGGAUUAGGUACAUUAUCCUUUAACGAUUAAUUCCCCAUCUAUCCCGAGUUUUGGACCAGAUACAUUAGCUAGAGACCUUGAUUUCUGAAUUUAGAUUUGCUUUUGGGGUAAAGGGAAUGGCCAUUAUCUUGAAUAAAGGAUAAGGUCUUGUUGCCCUUUGAUAAGACUAAAAGAGAGGUUCUAAAUUAGAUUUGAGUUUCAAGUCGCACUAUUAUAAAUUUUCUCCCGAUUUCAUCGUAGUUUUUUAAUUUAUUUGCUUAGUUAUUUAUGAGUUUUACAUUUAAUAAAAAGAAGCGAUCGCAAUCAAAAAAUAAAAAAAAAUAAACCGUAAAUAUUAAAAUUUAAAAUUAUUAGAUGUCAAUAAUUAUAUAAAUUAAUUAAAUAACUUAAAUUUCGGUUUAUGCGAUAAGUAACAUUGCCUUCACUAAUCUUAGACAUGACACAAAAUUUUCUGUCGGAGACACCAAUUCGGUGCAGUUUGACUGAUUUGCAAAGACUGUAAUUUCUGAAUUUAGAUUUCUUUGUGGGGUAAAAGGGAAUUACCCGGAAACUUAAAUAUGCAUAAGAUUAACAUUAGGUUCUUCCUUAACCUAAAAUUUGAACCAGGUUCAUUAACUGAUGUCUUAAUUUUAAUUUAGUAUUGUUAAUGGGUUAAAGGGAGCAUAACCACAUUUUUAUUUUUUUAAUUUCGAUCCUCUAAUCUUAGAGAUACCAUAUAAUUUCUGGUGAUGAUCAAUAAUUUGGUGUAGUUAAUUUGAUCUUUUAAACUAAGCGAAAUAUUCUAAUUUUGAAAAAUUAUAGUUUGAGAAAUUUAUAAAAAAAAAAAAAAGAAAACCAAUUUUUUCUCUCAAAUUUCAAUGUCACUGACAAUUCGAACUCAGUAUCAUGUUUACAGUUUAUACUAUUUUUUGAGAACCUCUACGUUAAUGCCAAACUCACCGUAUGCUUAAGGCUGCAUUUGGAACUAAAUGGAACUGCGUUUAUUAUGAAAAUUCGUGUCAAUCGUACUGUACAGUGUAAAAAUAUACAUUUGGUAACAUGAACGCACGGUACAAAUGGAUUCUCACCGUGCUGAAUCUCAAAAAUAUAACUGGUGCUUUGUGCUCCAGUGAGAAAACUCACCUCUACCAAUUCCUAUCUUUCCAAAUAAGCACCUUGUUUCAUUUUUAUUUUCUUUUGCUUUUACUCCUGACGGCAUAAAUGUAUAGUUAAUUAUUGUCUUUUUUUUUUUUAACUUUGAUUUUUUAUUUAAAAAUUUUUAAUAUUCCUUCCCAUUUCCAUUUUUUUUUCAAAUUUUAUAAUUUUUUUAUAAUAAAUAUAAUUAUUAUUUUAAUGUGAAAAAUAAUUAUUGUCUUCUAAAUUAUUAUCAAUUUGUGUAAAUAUAUUAUUAAUUUUUAAAAAAUAAUUUUUUAUUAUUAUCAAUUUUAUUAAUUUCUAAAAUUUAAUAACAAAAUUAUUAUUUGAAAUAAAAAUAAUUUUAGUAAUUUUAAUUAUUUAUUAAUUUUAUAAAUAUCAAAUUAUAAUUUAAAUUUUAUUAUAUAUAAAUUUCAAUCUAAUAUUCUUAAUUAUCAUUUUUAUUUUCAAUACAUUUCAUCUCACUACUAUUGCUACUUUUGUAUUUAAACACACAUUUCACUAUUGAUUUUAAUUUCACUGUUAUUAUAUUUAAUCUUAUCACUACAAUAAUUAAUCUCACAUCCAUCAUUAUUUUCAAUUUCACCAAAGCUAAUUUCAUCACCUAUCCAAAUGAACCUUAAUAAAGACUUCAUGUUAAAAACAACAACGAUAGCUUAACUUGUGAGGUAAAAUAAGUAAAUAAAAUUAAACUUGUUAAUGGGUUGGAUCAAAUUAAAUCUGGUUAAUUUUUGAAAUCCUUUGACUAUGGUCUAGUUUGGCCUAUCAACUCAAACAUAUUUGAUUAUUUAUUAAAAAUACUGAAUAUUAAAAAAUUACUUUUAUAUUAAUAUUUUAUAUAUUUUUAAAUUUAAUUUAAAUAUUUUAUUUAUUUAUUAAAUAAUAAUUCAAUUUGAAUUGGUUUGAAUUUCAAAACUCAUAUUCAAGACUAACGGUAUAUAAAUCUAUACGUAAUAAAAAAAAAGUGAAUCCAAUCAAUAAACCUAGCUAUCUCAAAAAUAAAUGUUUUUUAAUUCGAAUCUUACUAAUGACCUUUCACUUAUAUUACUUAAUGCAUGACUUAUGCAAAACACAAUAUUUUUUAUCCUACUCGGAAUGAUUGAUUAGCAACUUAACUAUCAAGAAUUUCGUUUUAAAAAAUUGUUAUUGUCACAAAUGCAUAAACUAUUUUCUUUUUCGUGUCUUGCUUAGGUGUGGGGAUAACAAAGAGCAAUUAUUGACUUAUAUUAUAUGUCACAAUUAAUUUGACUAAUCGCAUUUCCUCAUUCUACAUAGCUUUUCUCAUGGUUAUUUUGGCAAUUAAAUAUAAAAAUAAAUUAAUAUCAUGAACAAUCUUUAAAUUAUUGAAAUAUUUAAUAUAAUAUUUAAAUUUUAAAAAUCUCUAAUAUAAUAUUGAAUUAUAAAUUUUUUAAAUAAUAUGAUAUUUAGGUAUUAUUUAUCUGUCAUGUAUUAUUAUUUGAAGUUAAUUAAAAAUUAAUAUCAUUUUAAUUAAUAAAUUUAUAUUUCAAAUAUCAUAUUGAACAUUUAAUUAUACUUUAAAAAUCGUUAAUAAUAUUAGCUUUAUAAAAAUAAACUUAAACCGGUAAAAUAUAGCAACAUUGAUUAACCAUUAAUUAAUGAAAUUAACUUUGUUGGAAUAGUGUUUAUAUAUAUAUAUAUAUAUAUAGAUAUAUAUUCAUUAGCUGGUUUUGAAAAUAGAAUAUUUGACAUUAAUUGCAUUAGUGAAUUAUAAUUGAUUGAUAAUUGUCAAUAUUUUAUAGUAUUUUGAAUCUUUCCCUGAGACCCCUUCUCAACAAAGAAUAUAUGAUCAUAUUUUUAUUUGAUACCUUCUCGAUAAUGAAUUAUCAUCAUUUUUAUUUCUAUUCUAUGAUUGAUUAUCUCACUUGAACUCAAAAAUUGAAACGAAAUUCAAGUUAACUAAUAAUUUUUAAUUUGAAAUCAUAUUUAUGAUUAAUAGUUUUUCUAAUAAAUACUUCAAAGUGAAAAAUAAAAUAAAAUAAAAUAUAAAUAAAUAAAAUUCAUAGUGUCGCAGUCAUCUCAUAAAACACUCUAUUUUAGCAAGCUGCAGAAAAUAUUUAAGUCACAGUUUUCACUAGGGUUAUAAAUAAAUCAAAUAUGAAUAAAUGAACAUAUAUUUGUCAUUUUUAUUCAUUUAUUUUUAGAGGUAUUCAUAUUCAAUUCGUAUUCGGUUUAUUUAAAUAGUAAAUUAUUUGUAUUCGAUUUGUGCUAAAUUCAAUUAAGUUAAAUGAGCUCGUUCAUGAGCAUUAAAUGAGAAUAUUCAUUUAAAUUAUAUAAAUAUAUAUACAUAUAUCUAUUUAUUCGUAUUCGAUAAAUAAUAAAUUAUUUGUAUUCGAUUUGUACUGAAUUCAAUUAAGUUAAAUAAGCUCAUUUAUGAGCAUUAAAUGAGAAUAUUCAUUUAAAUUAUAUAAAUAUAUAUACAUAUAUCUAUUUAUUCGUAUUCGAUAAAUAAUAAAUUAUUUGUAUUCGAUUUGUACUGAAUUCAAUUAAGUUAAAUAAGCUCAUUUAUGAGCAUUAAAUGAGCAUGUUCAUUAACAUAUAUAAACGAACAUAUUUAUAAACAAUAAACAAAUCAUUACCAAAUAAAUUCAAACAAAUAAAUUAUAAAUGAACAUAAACGAACCUAAACAAAUAUAAACAAACCUUAAAAUAGAAUUAAGAUAAACGAUAAAAAUAUAAUUUUAUUAAUAUUAUUAUAAACAAACAAUAAACGAACAAUAAAUGAAUAAUAAACGAUAAACAAACUUUAAAUAAGUUUGUUUAUGAAUAUAAAUGAACUUAACAAACCUCUAUUCGUAUUCAAUUCAUUUAAUAAAUGAAUAUAAAAAUAUUAUUCAAAAUCUGUUAAACUUAAUAAACGAAUAUAAGCGAACAAAAACCAAACAUAUUUACGAACAAUUCAUCGAAAACUCUGUUCAUUUACAUCCCUAAUUUCCACAUGAAACUUGAAUUGCUUAUUCCUUGUGUUUACUCUACUAGAUAAAUCUAAAUGCUUAAAACAUUUUUCUUCCGUAAAUACAGAUUUUAAACCUAAAAUACAAUAAAUAGUUUACAAACAAAUUUAUAUUUUUCUUACAUAUUUGGUUGAUUAUUAAAAUAAUAUACCUAAAAAAUUAAUUGAAUUUGAACUCAAAACUUAAGUCAAAUAAUUUAUAUAAUCAUUUUUAAUAAGUGAUAUCCAAUAAAUUUAAAGUUUAAAUAUCAAUAUUUAUAAUUUUUUAUCUUCAAAUUAUAAUUAUUUUUAUAAAAAUAUUAAUUGAAUUCAUUUAAAACUUAUAAGUAUAAAUUGGAGGCCACAUGCAAAGAAAAAAAUGAUAAAUCUUAAAUAAAGUUUACUUAAGCAUUUUUUUUCUAUAUUUGAAUUCGGCUUAAUUUUUAAGUAAGAUAUACUAUAUUUACAUAAAGUCAAAUGCCCUAAUACCUUGUCUAAUAAUUUAUAAAUUAUAGUGAAAUUUUUAAUAUAAUAAUUAAAUUUUAAAAAUUUUUAAUUUGAUAUUUGAACAAUAAAUUAUUAACUUAUAUAAUAUUUGAAGAGUUAUUUGUCUUUCACGUAUUAUUAUUUGAAAUUAAACAUAUAUAAGUAUCAUAUUAAUUAAUAAAUUUAUAAUUUAGUUAUCAUGUUAAAAAUUUUAAAGUCAAGAUAUCAUAUUAAAUAUUUUAUUAUAAUUUUAAAGUUAUUUAUGAUAUUAAUUCAAUUUAAAACUACAGAAAUAAUAAAAUAAUAAUUUAUAUAAAAUAUAUUAAAAUCUUAACUAAUAGGGUUAUUGAUUGUUGAAAGGUGGAAAUUUUGUUUUUUUUUUUUAAGGGUAAAAAUUUUAUAAACUUUCCAUGCUCAUUUUUUGGUAAAAACAGUAGGGCACUUAUCAAGUUGUCAUUUAUGAAAUACUAAUAAAUUUCCAAAAAUUAUGAGACCCUGAAAAUCAGAUAUGUCGUGGCACUGUUUCAUUGGACAGCUAAUUAUAGGCUGGGCAAGAAGUCAAAAGUGUAAUUUAAAGACGAAGAGGGGCAUUUUUAACCUCUUCCUCAGCCGAAAGAUACCAAUAACUCAAGAACACGUCAACAAGGAGUUCCUUGCCUAUAUAAAUUUUCCUUUCUCAGUCCUUUCUUCCAAACGCCACCUCCUCUGUCUCUCCUUUAACAUUGCCUCUUUCCUUACAGCAUUAAAUACUCCAAACACAGUCCCACGUUUUCGGAACUGUUUUUAGCUUAACGGCGGAGAUGAAGAUGCAGAGAUUUAUUCCUGUGAGCAGUGUCUUGUUGGAAACUAAAUAUUCUCUGCGAUGGUGGCAACGACAAAACCGCUGCUUCUCUCAGGUGGCUCGAAACGAGGUUGCUGACAACGGUGGCGUUGUUGUUCCAAAAAUGCCCCCAUUUGAUUACUCUCCGCCUCCUUACACCGGUCCCUCCGCCUUUGAGAUCCUCUCCAAACGCAAGGAGUAUCUUAGCCCCUCCAUGUUUUACUUUUACAACAAUCC
rnacentral:lncRNA from 1 species